CACACCCAUAAAAACAGGUACAUUAUCAUCAAAAUAUCACAGUGGAAACUACUAUACUGCUAUAUUUGGAGUGAGUACCAAACAACAGGUGAGGCGAGCAAUAACAAAUGGGUGGUGAAAUCUUUCCAUUUAAUCUCCUCCUCCCUUCCGAACCGAACAUUACAACAGCCGCCUCCAGUCCUCCCCGGCAUCGCGCUCCGAGUGUUGUGCUAUGUUUAUCAUCUGCUGCGGUCUAGUGCUAAUUCUCCCCCGGCCGCAAACUACAGCGUUUCUUCAGGAAUGAUUGAAGGUUAUGUUACACUGCCUGGCCUCCUGAUGGUUCUUCAAGAUAGUCUCCUCUAAUUGAGGCAGAUUUCCAGCCCACACAGAUUACCUAUAAACUGGUUCCUCGAAUAAAGGCAACGUGUAGGUGUGAAUCAGCAUUAAGUCCCGCCAGGUGUCUGUCUGCCUCCACGGCCUGCACCACCGGCCAUCCACCGUCCAUCCACCUACGCCUUCCACAAAAACUCGGGACACCACCAGCCAACCAGACAAAGACCAAGAGCAGCACACACACACACACACACACACACACACACACACACACACACACACACACACACACACACACACACACACACACACACACACACAGGAUUAAAUAAAUAAAUAUGUAAAUAAGUAAUUAAUUAAUUAACUACCUAACUACCUAUCAGUAGCAGACUGAGUGAAAUACCAAUUGUUAGACUGAAUAAUUUACUAAGUAACUGACCGACUGACUGACUGAUUAAGAAACUGACUGACUGGCUGACUAAGUAACUGGCUGACUCAUUCAAUCACUCACUCACUGACUUCUUAAAUGACUACCUAAAUAAAUAAACGUACA